rnacentral:lncRNA from 1 species
GGCUUGGCCGCGCAGCUCCGUUGCGCGCUCACUCUGCGGCGGCUGGCGGGGUCGGCUUCGCUGGGGACUUCCAUUGCUGGCUCUGUUUUCUGGCCGGUCAGGCAGAACGAUGCCCGCUCCCUGCUUCCCGGCGUCCCGCGCGCCCGGUGACCAUUAGCCCGCUGCAGGGUUGUGGCGGUGAUCCCCUGCCUCCGACUUUCACCCAGCGUCCGGCUCGGAGCUUGCUGGCCGGCGGGGAGAGGCCCUGGUAGUGUCAGGAGGUUUCAAAGGCUCGAGUACCUCUACAGACCCAGCAGCUACUUCUGUGGUCAUGGAGAUCAUCUUCUACCAGGAUUAAUGUACGAUCUUCACCCAGCUUAUCACCCCCUAGUUGCAGCGUUGGGUCCUGAUUUCCACCAAUGAAGUUUUUUUAUCCUUUCUUG